rnacentral:rRNA from 1 species
UACAGAGGUCUCAAGCGUUGUUCGGAUUCAUUGGGCGUAAAGGGUGCGUAGGCGGCGCGGUAAGUCGGGUGUGAAAUCUCGGAGCUUAACUCCGAAACUGCAUUCGAUACUGCCGUGCUUGAGGACUGGAGAGGAGACUGGAAUUUACGGUGUAGCGGUGAAAUGCGUAGAUAUCGUAAGGAAGACCAGUGGCGAAAGCGGCGCGCUGGACCACUACUGACGCUGAGGAACGAAAGCUAGGGGAGCAAACAGG